rnacentral:misc_RNA from 1 species
UGGCGGCCAUAGGUUGUUGCAGCAGUAAGUUAUUUGCCUCAUCUUUUGUCAUCAAUUCCUUCUCAAGUUUGGAAAGCUUGUUCAUCCUGGGAAUUAUAUUCUGAACUGGGGAUUUUUUAGAAGCAGGUUUUGUAUACUAUUUACUAAUUUAGAGCUUCAGCAAUUACAGAAGUUCAAUUGUAUGUAUAUUUUUCAAGAUAAUGUUCUCACUCCAAUUUAAUGGAGUUGAAAUGUAUUUGUGGAUUUUAGAGAAAAGGAGGAAAAAAGGGAAGGUGAAAUUUACUCAUCUAGCCAAGGGGAGUUCAAAGUGACAUAAUGAUAUAAAGUAGUUUCAGUGAAUUUUUUGUCCUCCAACUCUACUCUUGGAUUUCUGUUUUUGAUAUGAUAUGCUCAAAACUUGAAAGACAC